GUCUACAGCCAUACCACCCUGAAUGUGCCCAAUCUCAUCUGAUCUCAGAAGCUAAGGAGGGUUGGGCCUGGUUAGUAUUUGGAUGGGAGAAAUAUCCAGUAGGCACUGACU
ensembl:rRNA 5S_rRNA 5S ribosomal RNA